rnacentral:misc_RNA from 1 species
AGCAGCCGCGGUAAUUCCAGCUCCAAUAGCGUAUAUUAAAGUUGUUGCAGUUAAAAGCUCGUAGUUGAAUUUCGGGGUUAGUAGAUUGGUCGUGCCACGGGUAUGUACUGGUCUUACUGAUUCCUCCUUCCUGAUGAACCGUAAUGCCAUUAAUUUGGUGUUGCGGGGAGACUGGACUGUUACUUUAGAAAAAUUAGAGUGUUUAAAGCAAGCCUACGCUUGAAUACAUUAGCAUGGAAUAAUGAAAUAGGACGUUCGAUCCUAUUUUGUUGGUUUCUAGGAUUGACGUAAUGAUUAAUAGGGAUAGUUGGGGGCAUUAGUAUUCAAUUGUCAGAGGUGAAAUUCUUGGUAUUUAUUGAAGACUAACUACUGCGAAAGC